GAUGAACGCUGGCGGCGUGCCUAAUACAUGCAAGUCGAGCGAACGGACGAGAAGCUUGCUUCUCUGAUGUUAGCGGCGGACGGGUGAGUAACACGUGGAUAACCUACCUAUAAGACUGGGAUAACUUCGGGAAACCGGAGCUAAUACCGGAUAAUAUUUUGAACCGCAUGGUUCAAAAGUGAAAGACGGUCUUGCUGUCACUUAUAGAUGGAUCCGCGCUGCAUUAGCUAGUUGGUAAGGUAACGGCUUACCAAGGCAACGAUGCAUAGCCGACCUGAGAGGGUAAACGGCCAACUUGGAGCGGGGCAACGCGCACGGCUACUACGGGGGCCAAGUAGAGGCAAUACUCCCAGCUUGGCCGACGCUCGAGGGAGCGACCCCGGGGGCGGCAACAGGGUUAUCGGAACGAAAAAAUCUGUUUAUCGGACAAAAAGUAUGUUUAAGUACGUCUGCAGAAAUUGACGUUACCUAAGCAGAAAGCCGCGGCUAACCACGC
rnacentral:rRNA from 1 species